rnacentral:rRNA from 1 species
UAAUACCGCAUAAUACCCACGGGUCAAAGGAGCAAUUCGCUUGAGGAGGAGGUCGCGGCCCGAUUAGUUAGUUGCGGGGUAAUGGCCCCACCAAGACGGUGAUCGGUAUCCGGCCUGAGAGGGCGCACGGACACACUGGAACUGAAACACGGUCCAGACUCCUACGGGAGGCAGCAGUGGGGAAUUUUGCGCAAUGGGGGAAACCCUGACGCAGCAACGCCGCGUGGAGGAUGAAGUCUCUUGGGACGUAAACUCCUUUCGAUCGGGACGAUUAUGACGGUACCGGAAGAAGAAGCCCCGGCUAACUUCGUG